rnacentral:rRNA from 1 species
UACAGAGGGUGCGAGCGUUGUCCGGAAUCACUGGGCGUAAAGGGCGCGUAGGCGGCCAGCGCAGUUCAGUGGGGAAAUCUCCGGGCUUAACUCGGAAAGGUCAACUGAUACUGCGCGGCUAGAGUGCAGAAGGGGCAACUGGAAUUCUCGGUGUAGCGGUGAAAUGCGUAGAUAUCGAGAGGAACACCUGCGGCGAAGGCGGGUUGCUGGGCUGACACUGACGCUGAUGCGCGAAAGCCAGGGGAGCGAACGGG